AAAAAAAAAAACUUACACACAAGCUAAUUUUACUAAAUUGGAUUUUUUCUGGAAGUGUGCAGGAAAAAUAAUUAAAAGAUUCUAAAUGACAUAUUUUGAUGCAAAAACCUUUUUUCUUUUAAUAAAAAAGUUAAGGAUAAAUGAUAAAUUAUCUUAACACUUUUUAUAAUAUAUUUUGGAUAUUAGGCUAAAGAUGGGAAUACUUUCAAAUUGGCAUUUAAAGAAAAAAAAAAAAGGUCACCUACUAUUCAAGCCAAUAUGGUAAUUUACUUUUUAAGACGUAAUUGUAAAUAAGUUCACCAUUUCAUUUCUCCUCAGAAUCUUAUAAAUGCAAUGGAAGAAGAUACAUGCCAACUGGAAAAUAAUCAGAAGAAAUUCCACUUGUUCAAUCAACCAGGAGAUGCACAUCGAAGAAUUGAAAAGUGGGAUGAUGAAGAAGCAGCUGAAGAAACCUACCAGAUGUGCAUAAAAUUCCUCUGUAAUUACUAAAUAUGUUGAAAUAAUUUAAUGUAAAAUGGUAAAUGAACUUAUUACAUUAAAAACUCAUCAGAUACA